rnacentral:rRNA from 1 species
GAUAAACGCUGGCGGCGUGCCUAAUACAUGCAAGUCGAGCGAACGGACGAGAAGCUUGCUUCUCUGAUGUUAGCGGCGGACGGGUGAGUAGCACGUGGAUAACCUACCUAUAAGACUGGGAUAACUUCGGGAAACCGGAGCUAAUACCGGAUAAUAUUUUGAACCGCAUGGUUCAAAAGUGAAAGACGGUCUUGCUGUCACUUAUAGAUGGAUCCGCGCUGCAUUAGCUAGUUGGUAAGGUAACGGCUUACCAAGGCAACGAUGCAUAGCCGACCUGAGAGGGUGAUCGGCCACACUGGAACUGAGACACGGUCCAGACUCCUACGGGAGGCAGCAGUAGGGAAUCUUCCGCAAUGGGCGAAAGCCUGACGGAGCAACGCCGCGUGAGUGAUGAAGGUCUUCGGAUCGUAAAACUCUGUUAUUAGGGAAGAACAUAUGUGUAAGUAACUGUGCACAUCUUGACGGUACCUAAUCAGAAAGCCACGGCUAACUACGUG